rnacentral:rRNA from 1 species
UACGAAGGGGACUAGCGUUGUUCGGAAUCACUGGGCGUAAAGCGCACGUAGGCGGAUUUGUAAGUCAGGGGUGAAAUCCCGGGGCUCAACCUCGGAACUGCCUUUGAUACUGCGAAUCUUGAGUCCGAUAGAGGUGGGUGGAAUUCCUAGUGUAGAGGUCGAAAUUCGUAGAUAUUAGGAAGAACACCGGUGGCGAAGGCGGCCCACUGGAUCGGUACUGACGCUGAGGUGCGAAAGCGUGGGGAGCAAACAGG